GAUGAACGCUAGCGGCAGGCUUAAUACAUGCAAGUCGAAGGGUAACAUGGUAGCAAUACUGAUGACGACUGGCGCACGGGUGCGUAACACGUAUGCAACCUACCUUUAACUGGAGCAUAGCCCCUCGAAAGAGGGAUUAAUACUCCAUAACAUAGUGAAAUGGCAUCAUUUUAUUAUUAAACCUCCGGGGGUUAAAGAUGGGCAUGCGGUGCAUUAGCUAGUUGGUGAGGUAAUGGCUCACCAAGGCUACGAUGCAUAGGGGUUCUGAGAGGACAUACCCCCACACUGGUACUGAGACACGGACCAGACUCCUACGGGAGGCAGCAGUAAGGAAUAUUGGACAAUGGUGGCAACACUGAUCCAGCCAUGCCGCGUGCAGGAUGACGGCCCUAUGGGUUGUAAACUGCUUUUGUACGGGAAAAAACCCUCGUUCGUGAACGAGGCUGAUGGUACCGUAAGAAUAAGGAUCGGCUAACUCCGUG
rnacentral:rRNA from 1 species